CUGGCGGCGUGCCUAAUACAUGCAAGUCGAGCGAACAGAUAAGGAGCUUGCUCCGUUUGACUGUUAGCAGGCGGACGGGAUGAGUAACACUGUGGGUAACCUACGCUAUAAGAACUGGGAUAACAUUCGGGAAACCGGGAGCUAAUACCGGAUAACAUUUGGAACCGCAUGGUUCUAAAGUGAAAGAUGGUUUUGCUAUCACUUAUAGAUGGACCCGCGCCGUAUUAGCUAGUUGGUAAGGUAACGGCUUACCAAGGCAACGAUACGUAGCCGACCUGAGAGGGUGAUCGGCCACACUGGAACUGAGACACGGUCCAGACUCCUACGGGAGGCAGCAGUAGGGAAUCUUCCGCAAUGGGCGAAAGCCUGACGGAGCAACGCCGCGUGAGUGAUGAAGGUCUUCGGAUCGUAAAACUCUGUUGUUAGGGAAGAACACAUUUGUUAGUAACUGUACACGUCUUGACGGUACCUAACCAGAAAGCCACGGCUAACUACGUGCCAGCAGCCGCGUAAUACGUAGGUGGCAAGCGUUAUCCGGAAUUAUUGGGCGUAAAGCGCGCGUAGGCGGUUUCUUAAGUCUGAUGUGAAAGCCCACGGCUCAACCGUGGAGGGUCAUUGGAAACUGGGAAACUUGAGUGCAGAAGAGGAAAGUGGAAUUCCAUGUGUAGCGGUGAAAUGCGCAGAGAUAUGGAGGAACACCAGUGGCGAAGGCGACUUUCUGGUCUGUAACUGACGCUGAUGUGCGAAAGCAUGGGUAGCAAACA
rnacentral:rRNA from 1 species